rnacentral:tRNA from 1 species
GGGAAUGAGGCUCAGUGGUAGAGCACUUGCCUAGCAUGCAUGAGGCCCCAGGUUCGAUUCCUCAGCACCA